GAAAUGCGAUAAGUAAUGUGAAUUGCAGAAUUCAGUGAAUCAUCGAAUCUUUGAACACACCUUGCGCUCCUUGGUAUUCCUUGGAGCAUGCCUGUUUGAGUAUCAUGAAAUCUUCAAAGUAAAUCUUUUGUUAACUCAAUUGGUUUCUACUUUGGUAUUGGAGGUCUUUGCAGCUUCACACCUGCUCCUCUUUGUUCAUUAGCUGGAUCUCAGUGUUAUGCUUGGUUCCACUCGGCGUGAUAAGUUAUCUAUCGCUGAGGACACUGUAAAAGGUGGCCAAGGUAAAUGCAGAUGAACCGCUUCUAAUAGUCCAUUGACUUGGACAAUACUUUUAUCAUCUGAUCUCAAAUCAGGUAGGACUACCCGCUGAACUUAAGC
rnacentral:misc_RNA from 1 species